rnacentral:rRNA from 1 species
AUUGAACGCUGGCGGCAUGCUUUACACAUGCAAGUCGAACGGCAGCACGGACUUCGGUCUGGUGGCGAGUGGCGAACGGGUGAGUAAUACAUCGGAACGUACCCAGUAAUGGGGGAUAACUAUCCGAAAGGAUAGCUAAUACCGCAUACGCCCUACGGGGGAAAGAGGGGGAUCGCAAGACCUCUUGUUAUUGGAGCGGCCGAUGGCUGAUUAGCUAGUUGGUAGGGUAAAGGCCUACCAAGGCAACGAUCAGUAGCGGGUCUUAGAGGACGAUCCGCCACACUGGAACUGAGACGGGGUCCAGACUCCUACGGGAGGCAGCAGUGGGGAAUCUUGGACAAUGGGCGCAAGCCUGAUCCAGCAAUGCCGCGUGCGUGAAGAAGGCCUUCGGGUUGUAAAGCGUUUUGUCAGGGAGCAAAUCCUUGUGGCUAAUACCCACCGGGGAUGAGAGUACCUGAAGAACAAGGACCGGCUAACUACGUGCCAGCCGCCGCAGUAAAAC